rnacentral:misc_RNA from 1 species
UCUAAUGUGAUCAAUUGGUUGUGGCAAUUGUGAAACAAUAACGAAUGAGACAGGAUGUCAACAUUCUAACAAAUCAGCAAAUGUUCCAAGCUGAAGAGCCAAUCGUUCUAUAUCUUUAGGGUUUCUCUCUUUUUCACGCACAAUCCCCCUUCUCUAGAAAAAAAAGAAAAACCUAAGUUAUCUGCUAAGUCCCAUUGGAAAGGGGAAGUUCAGCGUUCUCUUUGUGGAUCGUCCCCCUCACAUAAGCUCUAUUUUACCUUCAAUAUUUUUUCUUCAAUUUGAAAAGAAAAUUAGAAAUUUAAGAGGAUAAUUGACCUUGAUUUUGUGCAAUUACAUAAAUGUCCAUCUAUUUUUUAUUGCCAUUUCCCGUUUUCCUUUUCUAGGGUUCAUGGUGGCCAUUUACAAAAAUUCCUUUUCUCAGAAAAAUAUCAACUCCCUCUCAUCUACCUCUUGCCUCUCAUCAGCUCUUUUCACUUUUCUCUCGUCAUGCCUCAGGUUUAUUCCGUCCUUCAGAGCUUAGGUGGUGAUGCCAACGUUUCACUCUCCCUUGCAAGCUCCCAGACCCCCCAUCUCUUCAUUCUCCCGUCGCUGCUUCCUUCUCUCUAGUCUUCCUGUCUUUGAUUUCGGCUCUUUAUUCUAGGUUGGUGAAAAUUCAAAGCUGGUGAUUGGAGACCUUGAGCUCUUAUACAGUUACAGUUUGCAAGGCAGUUCAAUUUAGAGAAUCUUGGAGAUCUAAGCAAUUUCCUAUCCAAAAUUAAAAUUCUGAUUUGAUAGCAGCUGAGACUGGAUAUACGGUUCAUAUAAAAAUUUUGGCCACUUCUUCCUCGUUGCAAAUAUGAGUUUCGUACGCGUGUUUUGAAGAGGUCCCAAGGCACGAGAACAAAGUUGAAGACUUGGAAAGGCCAAAGAAUUGAGAAAUGUUGCUGAUACAAUUUACACGAGUCAUGUAAUCAAAGCCAUAGAUCCAUGUAACUUACUGCCAGGAGAAAGACAAAGAACCAAAGAAGAAUCGAAGUACACGGGCCAUGUUCUGUGCCCCAUGUAAAAUAUGAAUACUUGUGUAAGUCUCUGCUGGGCCAAGCUUGAAGAUUUCCCUGAAAUACAAAAGUACACGGACUGUGUUAUCAGGCUCGUGUAACUACCUGAAGACCGUGAAAACUCCUGUACCGAUGCAAGAUGCAACCAAUCAAGCUCCAGUAAGUUACACGACCCAAGGCUAUGUAGUGAUGCACGUGCCGUGUAUCGUGCGGUAGCCGGUUUCCCAACUCGAUUCUAGCUUCAGUUUCUACAGAGAAAAGAGACUCCUUAUGCCUUAAGGACUCUAAAAACCUAACCUUAGCCCAAUCAUUAUAAAUAGAGGCAGCAGAUAACAAGAGGGAGAGCUUUUUUGACCUUCACUAUUUUCACACAACCGUUUAGAAGAAUAGUGCAUUGGCAUCAAGGAGAAACCCUCAGCUGAAGUUCCAAAAGAUCAAAGCUGCAGAUUCUCUUCGAUUCUUUUGUUCUAUUUCUUUAAGCGGAUAUUUCAUGUUCUUUUAUUUUAUUUCUAUUAUGUUUGUUAAACUCACAAUGAGUGAGUAAUUUCUUUAUUCUGGAAUUAGGAGAGUAGCGCUUGUAAUUGUUAUUAUGGAUCAAUAUUGAGUUUUAUUUAUUAGAC